GUGACUCUGGAGAAGCUCUCAAUGGAGUGCCGAAGGUGCAAAGCGGCCCAGCCGCCAAUCUCUCAGGCAAAAGGACAGAGGUA
rnacentral:ncRNA from 1 species